UUACAGAGUUAUCCAACUCCUAAACCCCUGUGAACAUACCUACGUUGCCUCGGCGGGGGCCUGCCCGGGACUUUCCCGGGGCGCCUUACUCGUCAAAGGACCAAAUUAAACACUUAUAAUUUUUUUGGCAUUCUGAAGCGUUUAUGACAACAAGUUAAAACUUUCAACAACGGAUCUCUUGGUUCCGGCAUCGAUGAAGAACGCAGCGAAAUGCGAUAAGUAAUGUGAAUUGCAGAAUUCAGUGAAUCAUCGAAUCUUUGAACGCACAUUGCGCCCGCUAGUAUUCUGGCGGGCAUGCCUGUUCGAGCGUCAUUUCAACCCCUUAAGCCUCAGCUGCUUAGUAUUAGGGAUUUAAUCGUCACGGCGGUUAACCCCUUAAAAUUAUCGGCGAAGGCCGGCAAACAUCUUCAGCGUAUUAAUUUAUCCGCUUUAUGAUGAUGCCAGCUUUUAGCCGCCAACCCCUUAUAUUUUUAUUUUAUUUUACAUGGUUGACCUCGGAUCAGGUAGGACUACCCGCUGAACUUAAGCAUAUCAAUAAGCGGAGGAAAAGAAACCAACAGGGAUUGCCCUAGUAACGGCGAGUGAAGCGGCAACAGCUCAAAUUUGAAAUCUGGCCUUGCGGUCCGAGUUGUAAUUUGUAGAGGAUGCUUUUGGUGCGGUACCUUCCGAGUUCCUUGGAACAGGACGCCUUAGAGGGUGAGAGCCCCGUACGGUUGGAUGCCUAGCCUCUGUAAAGCUCCUUCGACGAGUCGAGUAGUUUGGGAAUGCUGCUCUAAAUGGGAGGUAAAUUUCUUCUAAAGCUAAAUAUCGGCCGGAGACCGAUAGCGCACAAGUAGAGUGAUCGAAAGAUGAAAAGCACUUUGAAAAGAGGGUCAAAUAGCACGUGAAAUUGUUGAAAGGGAAGCACUUAUGACCAGAACUUUUCCAGGCGAAUCAUCCGGUGUUCUCACCGGUGCACUUCGUCUGGUUUAGGCCAGCAUCGAUUUUUAUAGGGGGAUAAAGGCUUCGGGA
rnacentral:rRNA from 1 species